UGCCACCGAAGGCGGCGCUAAAGGAAAAAUCCUUGGAGGAGGGAAUGUGUUAACGCCUGUCGUCACCUUUGGUUUCCUCGGACUCCACAAAAGCAGGAUUAGUAUAUAAGAGUUUGCAUCAAUCAUCUGAACUAUUCUCUCGCUAGACGCGGAGGAAGGGACAGGCACGAAGGCAGCUACGAGACAGUACAAGCAAGAUCAUGCCCCAGAUAAACUACAUUAGAUAUCUAUUGUUCGUUCUCCUGGCAAUGGUAGCUGUCAGGUCCACAUGGGCUAACCUGGGCACCUCGACAAACCCGGGACGGUGCCCCAAGGCCUUGGAUACUUAUGUUGCUGGAGGAGUAUCGAGCUGCACAUCUGACAACCAAUGUCCGGGGAAGGAAAAAUGCUGCAAGUUGCUUCAAGGAAUAAGCGUCUGCCUCAACAUUGUUCAGCAACAUGCGGUCCUGGGAGAGAGACAGCCUUUAUAAAAUAUGCAAAUCCGCAACGUUAACGAUUCUUCUUAUCUAUGCUUUACAACGUGAUUACAUGUAGUCUAACGCUUCCACGUAAGGUGACUGUUAAGUUUCCAUGACAAAAAAUGUACUGCAGGAAAAAUAAA